GACGAACGCUGGCGGCGUGCUUAACACAUGCAAGUCGAACGGAAAGGCCCUGCUUUUGUGGGGUGCUCGAGUGGCGAACGGGUGAGUAACACGUGAGUAACCUGCUCUUGACUUUGGGAUAACUUCAGGAAACUGGGGCUAAUACCGGAUAGGAGCUCCCGCUGCAUGGUGGGGGUUGGAACGUUUCGGCGGUUGGGGAUGGACUCGCGGCUUAUCAGCUUGUUGGUGGGGUAGUGGCUUACCAAGGCUUUGACGGGUAGCCGGCCUGAGAGGGUGACCGGCCACAUUGGGACUGAGAUACGGCCCAGACUCCUACGGGAGGCAACAGUGGGGAAUAUUGCACAAUGGGCGGAAGCCUGAUGCAGCAACGCCGCGUGCGGGAUGACGGCCUUCGGGUUGUAAACCGCUUUCGCCUGUGACGAAGCGUGAGUGACGGUAAUGGGUAAAGAAGCACCGGCUAACUACGUG
rnacentral:rRNA from 1 species